rnacentral:rRNA from 1 species
GAGGGAAAGGCGAAAAGAACCCCGGCGAGGGGAGUGAAAAAGAACCUGAAACCGUGUACGUACAAGCAGUAGGAGCCCCAUCACUCAAGUGCCUCGCACUGAGUGAUGCAAGAACAUCACCGAAAAUAGCGCCUAAUUUGCUAACAAGGUUGGUCGAUUUUUUCAAGCCGUCGCGCAGUGUACCUAGAAGUACACGAGCAACGGAAGUUAAAAAAUCGGGCAAGAUUGAACGCAAAGGCAAGCGGGACAUUUGAGGAUGGGGUGACUGCGUACCUUUUGUAUAAUGGGUCAGCGACUUAUAUUCUGUAGCAAGGUUAACCGUAUAGGGGAGCC